GGAGAAAUGCCGGAGUGGUCGAACGGGGCAGUCUCGAAAACUGUUGUCCCGCUUGUCGGGACCGAGGGUUCGAAUCCCUCUUUCUCCG
rnacentral:tRNA from 1 species